CACACCUCUAAAAAGUGUUAGUGUGCCGCUAUGAUAAUACUCAUUUACGUCAGGUCAAAGUGCAGCUAAUAAAAAGGUGAUGAUGGGUUACAACCUAAAUAAAGAUAACGAAUUAUAGCAACAAAAGCUAUAUGAAGGUGGACUUGAACGUAAUUACUAUCCUGAGUAAUAAUGAAAACGAAUCUAAGACAUGUACACAUCGCCCGUCACUCUUACCUAAAGGCAAGAUAAGUCGUAACAAAGUAGGUGUAACGGAAGUUGCACCUGU
rnacentral:rRNA from 1 species